rnacentral:rRNA from 1 species
GGGUUCUCGUAUUUGAGCGUGUUAGUAUCCUCGGAUCAUUAAGUCCCUCCCUUGCGUGGCCGGAUAUAGUGGCGAACGGGUGAGUAACACGUGAGUAACCUGCCCUUAACUCUGGGAUAAGCCUGGGAAACUGGGUCUAAUACCGGAUAGGAGCGCCUACCGCAUGGUGGGUGUUGGAAAGAUUUAUCGGUUUUGGAUGGACUCGCGGCCUAUCAGCUUGUUGGUGAGGUAAUGGCUCACCAAGGCGACGACGGGUAGCCGGCCUGAGAGGGUGACCCAUACACACAUCUGGGGAAAUUUUGAGACAUCCGGCCCAAAGACUUCCUACCGGAGGACAAGGCAGUUGGGGAAAUAUUGCACAAUUGGGCGGCAAGCCUGAUUGCAGCGAACGCCCGCCGUGAGGGAUGGACGGCCUUCGGGUUUGUAAACCUUCUUUCAGUAGGGGAAGAAGCGAAAGUGACGGUACCUGCAGAAGAAAGCACCGGCUAACUACGUGCCCAGCAGCCCGCGGUAAAUACGUAGGGUGCGAGCGUUAUCCCGGGAAUUAUUGGGCGUAAAGAGCUCGUAGGCGGUUUGUCGCGUCUGUCGUGAAAGUCCGGGGCUUAACCCCGGAUCUGCGGUGGGUACGGGCAGACUAGAGUGCAGUAGGGGAGACUGGAAUUCCUGGUGUAGCGGUGGAAUGCGCAGAUAUCAGGAGGAACACCGAUGGCGAAGGCAGGUCUCUGGGCUGUAACUGACGCUGAGGAGCGAAAGCAUGGGGAGCGAACAGGAUUAGAUACCCUGGUAGUCCAUGCCGUAAACGUUGGGCACUAGGUGUGGGGACCAUUCCACGGUUUCCGCGCCGCAGCUAACGCAUUAAGUGCCCCGCCUGGGGAGUACGGGCCGCAAGGCCUAAAACUCAAAGGAAUUGACGGGGGCCCCGCACAAGCGGCGGAGCAUGCGGGAUUAAUUUCGAUGCAACGCGAAGAAGCCUUACCAAGGGCUUGACAUGGUCUCGAUCGCCCGUAAAGAUACGGUUUCCCCCUUUGGGGCGGGAUCAAAGGGUGGUUGCAUGGAUUGUCCUCAGCUCGUGUCGUGAGAUGUUGGGUUAAGUCCCGCAACGAGCGCAACCCUCGUUCCAUGUUGCCAGCACGUAAUGGUGGGGACUCAUGGGAGACUGCCGGGGUCAACUCGGAGGAAGGUGAGGACGACGUCAAAUCAUCAUGCCCCUUAUGUCUUGGGCUUCACGCAUGCUACAAUGGCCGGUACAAUGGGUUGCGAUACUGUGAGGUGGAGCUAAUCCCAAAAAGCCGGUCUCAGUUCGGAUUGGGGUCUGCAACUCGACCCCAUGAAGUCGGAGUCGCUAGUAAUCGCAGAUCAGCAACGCUGCGGUGAAUACGUUCCCGGGCCUUGUACACACCGCCCGUCAAGUCACGAAAGUCCGUUUACUAGAGUUCCUCGUGGCUCAAUUAGUCGCAACGUAGGCCACUCUGUGGAGUUACCUC